CCUCAUCCUGCUCAGUGGGCUUGGGUCGUCGGGCCGCGAGGACAGGGAAGACCAGAGGACCACGAGCCCCAGGAAGCUUCCCACCACCAGCAAACUGCGGCUCCUUAAAGAGGUGGAUUUGUAAUCGAAAGGCCCAGAUUCACGGAAGGCCUGGUCCUCAGCAGAAUGGUUAAAUUGUUGAAAAGUCUUCAUCACUGAACUUUGUCAAUGGAUGACAGUAAAUCCGGUUACAUAUAAACGUCUUCAUCAGCAAGCACACAGAGCACAAGCAUUCUACAGCGAAUGGAAUGGAAUCUAUGUCAGUAAAUGGGCCAGAGAAUCCACACUAGCAAUUUGUAAUAUAAGAGCUAUGGUUACACCAUAUUGGGCAGAGUCCUGGACUCAAGAUCUCUGGAGGAAUGGGAGGACUGUUGAGAUCUGAAGAAGAGAGAGGGUCAGUUCCUGUUCUUCUCUAGGAGCUGAUGGGAAUGAUGCUUCACACCCUCACCUUUGGAAAGUUUUUGAUUAGUUUUAACAAGAGUCGGGUGUUCAUAGUAACGAACUAUUCCUACAAGCCUUUUUAGACACUUCACAGGAGAUAAACAGAGCUGAAUACAAAUAAAGAAAUCUGAAGCCAGACUGCAGAGAGAUUCUGCAGGAAGAUUAUCGCAAAUCCAGGAAUUAGAGGUUGGACAGGAACUCGUUAUCUCUUGAUAGUGCUUCUCUGCUUCCGUAUGCUGGGCUGAGGCUCACUGGUGUACACAAAUCUCCUUUUUUUUUUCUCCAGCCAUUUUUCUAACAAUUGGACGAUGGACAAGUAUAUUUUCUCUUUUAUUUGAACACACGGCUCUAUAUUAAACUACUAUUUGAAGAGUCACACCAGGGACUUGUAAGCCAAAAGCACUGCUCUUCUGGGGAGUUCAAAAUACUGCCAUUUGGAUAAAGGUACCUUUUUGGCAUAUUGCAAAGAAUUUCAAAAUUUGAAUUUUAAUUACAUGUCUUUUGUGGAGAGCCGUCUUUGAGGACUUGGCCUUUUGGGAUGGCUUCUGUUUUUCAAACCACAGAAAAUAAUUUUUAACAAACUUAAUCCUUUUUGGUGAUCUUUUAUUGUAUAUUAAUAGCUAUUUCUAUUUCUUCAAAGCACUUUUAUUUUAAUGAAUGUAUCAUGUGGUAGCCAUCGCUCUAGACACGGGGAAUACAGUAAUAAAUUAAAAGAGCAAUAAUCCCUGUCCUCAUGGAGACAGAUAAUAAACUCAUGUGCAAAUUAUUCUGUAUUGUUACUAAAUCAACUGCUCCCUCACCUGUGUGCCAAGCGGUGUUUUAAGAGUCUAUGAAGAUUAACUCACAGACUCAGAUCGUACAUUAGAGGAUGGACGAACACCUAGCAAAGGAGCGUAAUACAGAAUGCUGGCUGGGUGUGAAAUGUGAUCGCCAUUUAAAAAGGAGUCUCAUGGAGAAGAUAACUUUUGUACAAGUCCUGAAUGAGGAUUUAAGACCAAGCGAAAUAGAAGACAGCGGCAAGCAGGAGGAAUAGGACUUGCAAAGGCCCUAGGGCAGGAACGUUUCAUCUCAUACAGUAUGAGGGAGACAGAAGGCCUUGGGAGGUUUCCUGCAGAGGUGGCACCGUCUAAAUCUGAUCACAUAUCUAAAUUAGACCACAACCUCUGGCUUCUGGGUCUGGCAUGAAAAGCAGCAAAGCUUAAAAGCAACGAUUAUCCACAGUAGUGCCUGGGUUUGGUGACUGUAUAUGGGAUGGAUCCCCAGGUGGUACAGUCUCUGGUCUUUCCUUCAGUCUCUGCUCCACACUUUGUCUCUCCAUCCCAUAUACAGUCAUCAAACCUAGACACUAUUGUGGAUGCCAACAAGAGCUUGCUGACAGGAGCCUGAUAUAGCUGUCUCCUGAGAGGCUCUGCCGCUGUCUGACAAAUACAGAGGUGGAUGCUCUCAGUCAACCAUUGGACUGAGCACAGGGUCCCCAGUGGAGCAACUAGAGAAAGGACCAAAGGAGCUGAAAGAGUUUACAGCCCCAUAGGAGGAACAACAAUAUGAACCAACCAGUAUCCCCAGAGCUCCCCAAAGUGUACACAUGGAGGGACCCAUGGCUCCAGCUGCAUAUGCAGCAGAGGAUGGCCUUGUUGGACAUCAAAGGGAGGAGAGGCCCUUGGUCCUGAGAAGGCUCUAUGCCCCAGUGUAGGGGAAUGCCAGGACAGGGAAGCAGGAGUGGGUGGGUUAGUGAGCAGGGGGAGGGUGGAUGGGAUAGGAGGGUUUUGGAGGGGAAAUCAAGAAAGAGGAUAACAUUUGAAAUGUAAAUAAAAUAUCUGAUUAUAAAAUAAAAAAAGUAUCCAAUAAAAAAAAAGAUUAUCUAGUUAGGAAGGCUAUCUGAAGAAUCCAGGUAAAAGACUCCAGAAGCAGAAGUGGGGAUUAUAACAGCAGUAAUUACAUUAGGUCAGACCAUGGCUACAUUUGUUUAUUUCUCAACUAUUAUGGUUCCAAAUAAUUUAGUUUAUUGUUUUGCUCCUCGACUGUAAGCAGUUAAAUUAAUAACCUGUAAAGCAACUCUUUAAAUACUCUGGCAAAACACAUUAUUUAAGGAAAUCAUGUAAGCUAUUACUCAACAAUUUAAUUAAAUGUCCCAUGCAACAGUAGCAGAUUAGAUGCCAGGCUCAACGGAUCUGAUAGAAACAACUGAAAAUGCAAAAUGUGUUUUUAAAUUUAAAAAAGUGCCCCCAUAAGAUAAUAAAGAACAUUAAGGUCACACUCUGAACGAAGGAGGACCCUCGUCCCUACUUUUACAUUACGCACUGUGGUGAAAUAUGAGUUAACUGAAUAUCAUUUAUUUUGCUUUUAUGGAUUUUGGAACAAAACCAUUUAAUUUCCAAGCUGACACCCAACUGGAAAGCCCAAUUGUUCUGGGAAAGGCUGUGGAGACUCCCAAGGUAAGAGAGGAAAACCUAUGCUCCUGACUUUGUGAACAGGAACUUCUCUCUCCAUAUAACCAAACCAUGAGUCAAAAAUCAUACCCUCAAUUCUCCUUUGCAGUUAAAAUACAUGCCAACAUGACAGCUAGAGAAAUCCCUUAACAACAAUCAUUUAGCUAAAAGUGAUCCUGGACCAGUGUUAUCAGACAUCCAAAAAGUAAAUCUGGGUUUCUAUGCUUUUUUUAAAUUGCAUCUUUCAUACAAUGUGUUUUGAUAUAUACCCCGCCCCCAACUAAAAAGCUACAUAUCUACAAUCAUGGAAUGUGUUUUCCGCUGGCUAACCGCUGAGCACGAGGCUGGCCCUGGAGUAUGGUUGAUAUACUCAGAGUCAAUUUACAUAAAGAAGACCUGAUUUUUUGCUCUUCCAGGAGCUAUCAAUUGCAAGUAGUGUCGUGCUCAGGGGUGGGACUUUGUGCCUGAGUCCAUUUGUCUGUGCUGGGAUUUUGUCUGGCUUGAACUUGUUCAGGCUUGUCUUAGUCUCUGUCCAUCAGCUGUUUGUGUGUGAGGCAAAUGCUAUUUUGAGGUUCACCCAUCACCUCCAGUUUUUAUGAUCUUUCCGUUUCCUCUUCUGCAUAGCCUACUAAGCCUUGGGGGGGGGGGGUAAGUAAAGACAUCGUAUUUACAGUUGAAUACUGUGUGUGUGUGUGUGUGUGUGUGUGUGUGUGUGUGUGUGUAUGUGUGUGUAUAGCAUAGCACACAUGGAGAACUGGUCAACUUGAAUUUGCUUCUCCUCACAUUGUAAAUUCUAAGGAUUGAACUCAAGUCAGGUUUGGUCACAACAGCCCUCUGAGUGUAUUGUGUGUGUGGGGGGGGAGGGGCAAUUAAAAUCUAUGUUUAAAGAACUUGAAUCAUGGGGCUUAGCAGUUAAGAGCACUGGGUGUUCUUCCAGAGGACCUAGGUCCUCUUCCCAUCUCAUAACCCUCUGCAGCCCCAGUUCCAGGGCCUCUGACACCUUAUGACCUCUGCACUCACCAAGUCACCAGGCACACACAUGGUACACAGACAUAUAUGCAGUCAAACAUCCAAAAAAUAAAUAAAAAUAAAAGAACUCCCAUCACUUCAUGCUUUGAAGAAAUGCUGUUCUUGUCUCUUUAAAAAGUCACAUUUGAACAUCACUGAACGCUGUCCUGUGAAUGCAGGCAGCAGGAAGAAAAUACGGCGAUUUAGAACUAGCCACCCGUUGUAGCUAUCGACACAAUAGAAACCACAUUUGAGACUUCUUCAGAAAUUGAAAGAACUCUGAAAAUACAAGUAAAACUGAGAAUACACUCAUAUUCCAGAGAAGCAUGAGGAUUAAAGAAAGGUUGAACUGUGGAUUCGAGUUAUUAUCUAACCUUUUUUGAGUUGGUUUCUGGAGUCCAGGCUCUUCUAGAGUCAAGUUUCAGUCAAUGCCAAUCCUUUACAUGGAGGGAACCAUUUAAAGUUUUGUCUGAGUUUCUUUCCUCAGUUUUAAAUCUUCUCCUGGAUGAACACAUGAUUCCCUUAUGUUAAUAACUUGCACACCUGAAUUUCAGCCCAGUUUUUGAGCGUUAAAGGUUCCAUAGGACAUUUGGAAGCCUCUUUGGUGCUUGAAGUCAUUUUCUCAGUGGAAUUCCAUUUUCACACGAAACCUGUUCUUCCCAGGCUCCCGACGCAGUCUUUUGAGGCUCACACAAGUUUCUGAGGCAUCUCCUGUAGAGAGAAUAGUUUAUGUCUGGAUGGAUGUGACAGCUGUCAAUCUGAUGGCCUAUGGUGUAGGCAGGAAAUAGAGGUGAGACAUCAUGGAGAACUCUGGGAUAGAACUAGGUGCAGGGUGCCUGCCAGGGAAGAUGUGAGGUACCUGAGCCCAACUAACCAGUCACGAGGCAGAAGGUAGGUUAAGCUAAACGGGAUAUUUUAAGUUAGAUCUAGCCUGGGAAGAGCCUAGCUAUAUGGCCAAGGUAAAUGUAAAUAUAUUUGGAGUCUGAGUCUUAUUUCUGAGAGCAUGGAGCUGGGAGGAAGAACAGGCUCAAACGUUUACCAUCUCCCAUAAUUUUCUUUAUUCUGCAUUCUGGAGCCGUGUAGUCCAGACCUUGACUCUUAGGUUGCUUGUUCCCACUGUGUAAUUCAGGAUCCAUUUGUAAAUGUCAUCAUGUUCCCAUGUUAUUUCUUUUCCUUUUAUUCUUUUCCCCCAAGACAAGAUCUCAUCGCUAUGUAGUCCUGGCUAUGUAGAUCAGGCUGGACCAGAGCUCAGAGAGAUUUGCCUGCUUCUCCCAAGUGCUGGGAUUCACAGUGUACAGCAGUAUAUCCUUCUCUUAAAACCAUAAAUAUCUAGUGUUUUUCUAAAAGUUAAGUUCCAUGACAUUUCUGCAAGAAAACAAAACAAAAAAACCCAAACCUUUUAUUGGUUUGCCCUUAAAAGUGGCAAUUCAAGACACCCUGGAAGGUACAAUCUCAAAUAAAGCACAACCACUUAAUGUCAUUCACUGCCCUGGAUAAGUACAUCUUGGAAAGCAUAGGUUUUGGUGGAGUUUUAAAUUUUCCUUUUAUUUUCUAGGUGUUUUGCCUCCAUAUAUGUCUGUGCACCAAUUACGUAUUUGGUAUCUACUGAAGCAGGAAAAGGGUGCUGGAUCUCCUGGAGCCUGAGUUACAUAAGGCUUGUGAGCCACCAAGUGGGUGAUGGGAAUUGAACCCAAGUACUCCGGAAUAGCAGGCAAUACACUUAAUUAACCACAGAGCCAUCUCUCCAGCAUCUGCUAACCCAAAUAUGUUUUCUAAGAAAAGAAAGACAAUGGAUUAGUUCAAAAGAGAUUUUUAUAUUGCUCAAAAUUACCCACGAAAGAGCAUUAUGCACAGUAAAUACUUAAUACAUAUGCACUGGUUUAAUCAAUAUGCUGUAGACAAGAGCAAUCAAGUCUAAAAACGAAAGCAUUGCAGAACAGUUCUUUCCCUAGUGACACUGUCUAAAAGGCCAUAACUGGCAAACGAAAAGACCCCAUCUUAGUCUUAGGACUCUGAAAGCACACUGAAAACAUGGCCGAGAUGCUACCGAAGUCACUGUGGCAGUACUUCCUAAGAGCGUUCUUCAUUUGGAAAUGUUCACGAAAUUUUCAGUCAUGGUUGAAGUUGUGAUAGAGUCUUGUUUUAACAUUUUUACUUCAAUAGCCUAACUUUGUAUGAACUGAGAUUUUAGAUCUGUGCUAAAAGCAGUACAAUGGUGUUUAUUAUUUUCCACAUCCAUUAAGAUCAAUGUAUACAGUUAUAAUUAAAGAUAUUUACGUUUUGGAGUUCUUCAGAAUCAUCUGACCAUCAACUUCACCAAAGCUUAGGGGUAACUAAGAUAUUAUAUUGUAUUUUUUGUUUAAUGUCAACUUCAGUAAAGCCUGCAUGGUUUAGGGAUUACAAAUGAUGUCUGGGUUGGCUUCGAGGUUUUUGUUUGUUCUCGCUCUGUUUAUUUGGAGAUGUUUGGGAUUAAACACAAAGCUUUGUGGAUUCUAAGCAAGCCUUCUAUCUCUGAGUUACACCCCUGCCCACUGUCAUCUGGCUUUAUAACUUAUGGUCUAAUUUCAUGGAUUUGUCUCUUUAUGGAUGUUCCAAGCAUGAAUAUUUUCAUAGAUGCUAUGCAGAGUGGGUUUCUUAAACAAUCAAUACUCUCCCCAACCACCGGCUUACAGUAGAAUUUCACUAAUAAAAUAAAGAAUAUUUCUGUUU